GGACACUUAGCUCAGUUGGCUAGAGCACCUGCUUGACGUGCAGGGGGUCAGGGGUUCAAGUCCCUUAGUGUCCACCA
rnacentral:tRNA from 1 species